rnacentral:tRNA from 1 species
GUGGCUGUGGCUCAGUGGUGGAGCGCUUGCCUAGCAUGUAUGAGGCCCUGGGUUCGAUCCUCAGCACUGCA